GACCAAGAUGCCUGUCGUUACCAGCCAGCACCCGCCUGCCUCCUCGUGGGAAGCCAGAGCUGCCCCCCCCCCUCCCCCGGGGGGGAGAAGAACCACAGCAUGUGGACACCACAUGGCAGCUUUGCCAGUGAGGGAACCUUUCUCUGCAUCCUGCAGGCACUUCUCCCCAGUCUCCCCCAGGCCAGGAAAGGGGAGGGGGGCUGGACAGCCACCAAGGAGCAUAUCUGGCUAAGACCAGCAGUUGCAACUGGAGAGUCGCAGCCCUCAGCCCCACGAGACAGACCAGGCCAGAAAAGGCAGGCCAUAGGAAGGCCAGGGCUGCUCGUCUUGGAGCUGGCCCUGAGGAGAGACCCCGGGGGACCUGUCCACAUUGCUCGCUGGCUCAAGGGAGGCACCUGCCGGAGCCCCUCCUGAAUGCUGCCUCGGAACUUUGAAAUGUUUCGGCCCCCUGGACCUCGGGAAGGGCCCCUGCCCGCCUCCCCCAAGGUCGUCUCCUUCCUUCCAGCACAGACCACUGGCCGUCCACAAGAAAACGGGUGGCCCACUGAACAAGCCAUCAUACAACCCAGGCUGCUCACCAGCUGCUCCGAGGAUGCCCCGACUCUCACCCAGGAAGCUGUGAGAAACAAUCCCUCCCACGGCUCUCUAUUCCCAGGGCAGGAGGCCUAGCCACUGCCAGCUUCCCUGGCUUCACAGGGUGCUCCAAGGAACAGCACAGCUCCCCCAAUCCAUUGGCUUUCACGGAGCAAGGCUGCUCCUUCCAUGCUCCUAUUAGUUGCAGGGCUUUUGGCUAUCACAACAUAUCCAUCUCUGCACCACUCGUCUCUCUUCAGCCUCAGGUGAAGAGACCUUCUCAAAUUAAAGUUUUCUCUACAAUAAUGAAUCCCUGGUGCUGUAUUUUCCUUUGAUGGUCCCCUCCCCACAGGAUCUCAGAAAGGAAUGAGAAAGGGGGGAAGGAAGGGAAGCCUUGGGGUGCUGGGAGAUGCUGGCAAGAGGGUCAGGGCAAGAAUAGGCCCCAUCCUGUGGGUGGGGUGGGGAGAGCCACCACUCUGCCCUAAACAUCCUCCCUCCUGCCUGGCCAGCUGCUCUUCAGGGGUUGGGAGGACAUACAGCCCCUCUCCCACAUCGCCAAGGCUUUGUUUUCCACCAAGGAAACAGCCCAGAGUAGGAGAGCCAAGUGGGAGAAACUGAGGCUGCAUGUGGGGUUCGGGGAAGGCCGGAGCUCUUCAGGUUCCAGUUAUCCAAAAGAGCAAAACAGCCUAGUUUGGGUGAGGAAGGAUGGGAAAGCCUUUGGAUGCACAAAUGCACGGCUUGAGUCUCGGCCAAGGCUGGGGGACUUGGGCCAAGCCAGGCCCCAAACUUUCUCCUGGCAAGCCAUCCUUUUCUACAGGGCCCCAGGCAGGCUCACGUGACCCACUGGGGUGUGGGGUGGGGAGGAGGAAGACAACCCAAAAGCCGAAAGGACUUCCCCUCCCAAUAGAAGCUCCCUCCCCAGGUCAGGUCCAUGUUAAUUCAGGGAUCAUGCUCCCUCCCUCCCUCCUCCAGUUCUGCCAUGCCCCGUCCCAGGGAAAGAAUGGCUUGCAGGAGCUGCUUUGCCCAGCUAGGCAGCCUUGACUCAGUGCCACAGGCCUUUCUUUGCCCUCUACUCACCACAGACCAUCGUAGCUGCUGGACACGAUCAGGGAGCCAUCG